rnacentral:rRNA from 1 species
AUUGAACGCUGGCGGCAGGCCUAACACAUGCAAGUCGAGCGGAUGAAGGGAGCUUGCUCCUGGAUUCAGCGGCGGACGGGUGAGUAAUGCCUAGGAAUCUGCCUGGUAGUGGGGGAUAACGUCCGGAAACGGGCGCUAAUACCGCAUACGUCCUGAGGGAGAAAGUGGGGGAUCUUCGGACCUCACGCUAUCAGAUGAGCCUAGGUCGGAUUAGCUAGUUGGUGGGGUAAAGGCCUACCAAGGCGACGAUCCGUAACUGGUCUGAGAGGAUGAUCAGUCACACUGGAACUGAGACACGGUCCAGACUCCUACGGGAGGCAGCAGUGGGGAAUAUUGGACAAUGGGCGAAAGCCUGAUCCAGCCAUGCCGCGUGUGUGAAGAAGGUCUUCGGAUUGUAAAGCACUUUAAGUUGGGAGGAAGGGCAGUAAGUUAAUACCUUGCUGUUUUGACGUUACCAACAGAAUGAGCACCGGCUAACUUCGU